rnacentral:rRNA from 1 species
GACGAACGCUGGCGGCGUGCUUAACACAUGCAAGUCGAACGGAAAGGCCUGCUUUCCCCUGUGGAUUGCGGGUACUCGAGUGGCGAACGGGUGAGUAACACGUGAGUGAUCUGCCCCCAACUUGGGUAUAAGCCUGGGAAACUGGGUCUAAUUCCCGAUAGGACUGCAGGGUGGUGCCUGUGGUGGAAAACGAUUUUCUAGUGGUUGGGGAUGAGCUCGCGGCCUAUCAGCUUGUUGGUGGGGUAAUGGCCUACCAAGGCGGCGACGGGUAGCCGGCCUGAGAGGGUGGACAGCCAAAUUGAGACUGAGAUACGGCCCAGACUGCUACGGGAGGCAGCAGUGGGGAAUAUUGCACAGUGGGCGGAAGCCUGAUGCAGCGACGCAGCGUGGGGGAUGACGGGCUUCGGGUUGUAAACUACUUUCGACCGAGAGGAAGCCACCUGGUUGGAAGGGUGGUGACGGUAGUGGUAGAAGAAGCACCGGCUAACUACGUG